AAAAAAACCACCUUCGCUUUUAACGGUCUUUUCUAAGCCGAAGCUCGUGUUUCCUCUGUCUUCUUCGUCACGCUCACGUGUUUCUGCUUUUAAAGACUCCCUCUAUAUAUAUGCGUCGCUGAGCAAACAAGCGAAGCAAAAAUCACAAGCGAUUCCUGAAUCCUAGUGCCCUAGAAGGAAAAAUAAUGGAGGUGAAAGCCAAUGGUCCGAAUGAUGAAUCGGGUCGGAUACCGGACGGCCCGACGAACCCCAUGGUCACGCCUCUUUUAACGGAUCUCUAUCAGUUCACCAUGGCUUAUGCUUACUGGAAAGCCGGCAAGCAUCAAGAGCGAGCUGUGUUUGAUUUAUAUUUUCGGAAGAAUCCAUUUGGUGGUGAGUAUACAGUCUUUGCUGGAUUAGAAGAAUGCAUAAGGUUCAUUGCUAAUUUCAAAUUCACCGAGGAUGAGAUCUCUUUCAUCCGUGAAACUUUGCCUGGUUCUUGUGAGGAUGGCUUCUGUGAUUAUCUUAGAGGACUUGACUGCUCUGAAGUUGAAUUGUAUGCUGUUCCAGAGGGAUCAGUUGUCUUCCCAAAGGUUCCCCUGCUACGAAUUGAAGGGCCAAUUGCUGUGGUUCAAUUGCUGGAAACUCCGUUACUGAAUCUUGUUAAUUAUGCAUCACUGGUGGCAACAAAUGCAGCAAGGCAUCGAUUUGUUGCUGGAAAAACAAAAAUGCUGCUAGAAUUUGGUCUUCGACGGGCUCAGGGACCCGAUGGUGGAAUAGGAGCAUCAAAGUACUGCUACAUUGGAGGAUUUGAUGCAACAAGCAAUGUUGCAGCUGGGAGGUUCUUUGGGAUACCUCUUCGUGGAACACAUUCCCAUGCUUUUGUUAGUUCAUACAUGAGCCUUGAUGAGAUUGUGGAAAAGUCACUCCAGAGCUCUGAUGGCUCAAGCAGCUGUGAGGAUUUUGUCAGUUUGGUUCAGACAUGGUUGGACAAAAUUAAGUGGUCAAAUUCAUUACGUGGCGUUUUUGUUGAGACCAAUCAAAGCGAGCUUGCAGCUUUCACCUCAUAUGCGCUGGCAUUCCCAAAUAAUUUCCUAGCUCUUGUAGACACAUAUGAUGUUAUAAGGAGUGGAAUCCCCAACUUUUGUGCUGUUGCUCUAGCGCUCAGUGAUCUGGGGUAAUUCUGUAACUUUGCUAGUGUAUAUACUUUUUUACUAUGUAACAGUUUCUUUUUUUAGAUGAUGACAAGGUUGAACUAUUUCUUAAACCUUACUUUCACCUCAGUGACUGUAUCUCUAUCUUGAUGCUCUUGGUCUUUUAUGCAAUAAUUAUUCAGUUUUUGUUAGGCUGAAUCAGCAUUGUGAUGAAGAUGAUGAUAACCAGAAUUAUUUAUAUGACGCAUUCUUUAAAUCUGUGUUUUAAACACAUUAAGAGAAGGUCCAUUACUAAGACAAGAAGCUGCCAUGCAUAGUUGCAUAAUGCACACCAUUUCAAAUGUCUUGCUUUUAUCUUCAUAGCAUGAGCAUCCCUAUGACAUAUAAUGUCGGUAAUCUUGUCCAUAUGAUUAAGCAUUUAAUUGUAAUUAGUUUUCAUUAGUGAGUUUAGAUGGUGUGCUGUGCAGCUACAAAGCAGUGGGCAUUAGGCUGGACUCUGGUGACCUAGCAUAUUUGUCAUGUGAGGCCCGAAAAUUCUUUUGUGCCAUUGAGAAGGAAUUUGGAGUGCCCGGUUUUGGAAAGACUAGCAUCACUGCUAGUAAUGAUCUCAAUGAGGAAACUUUAGAUGCUUUAAACAAGCAGGGUCAUGAAGUGGAUGCAUUUGGAAUAGGCACCUAUCUUGUCACUUGUUUUACUCAAGCUGCUUUGGGCUGUGUCUUCAAGCUUGUUGAGAUAAACAAUCAACCUCGCAUCAAACUUUCUGAAGAUGUUUCUAAGGUUUCUAUACCAUGUAAAAAAGGGUGUUUCAGAUUGUAUGGCAAGGAAGGCUACCCCCUGGUGGACAUAAUGACUGGGGAAAAUGAACCGUCUCCAAAGGUGGGAGAACGGAUAUUGUGUCGUCAUCCUUUUAAUGAAUCCAAGAGAGCAUAUGUGGUUCCACAGAAGGUUGAGGAGCUUCUAAAGUGUUAUUGGCCUGGGAUCUCAGGUAAAGCUAGAGAAGAUUUGCCUCCUCUCAAGGAAAUUAGAGAGCGUUGCAUCAAGCAGCUCGAGCAAAUGCGUCCUGAUCAUAUGAGAAGGCUGAACCCAACACCUUACAAGGUGAGCGUAAGCGCAAAAUUGUAUGAUUUCAUUCAUUUUCUAUGGCUCAAUGAGGCGCCUGUUGGGGAGUUGCAAUAGGAGGAUGGUGAGAUGUAUUGCAUGGAGCAGUGUACAAAAUGCAGGUGUCAAGUAAUGAUUCCAGAACAGGAGCUUCUUCAAAUAGUCAGCACUCAGCACAUACACAAGUCUCUUCACAUUUAGCAAGUACCCCUUUUUGGGUUGGAGAAAUCAUUUGUUUCCGUAAUAAUCAAUAAAAUAUUUAGUUCUGUUGUGCUUUUCUCAAUUCAAUCCAAUAAGUACUUCAAUAUUUUGAGUCUGAAUACAACUGGAAUUGGAAGCAAUAGGACAACUGAAGAUUUCUGUUCCUUCGUUUUUUCCUUUAGAUUGAUGCUACAAUUUUAUAGAUGCUAC
rnacentral:misc_RNA from 1 species